AAAAUUUCAGUAGCCCAAGUCAAAAAUAAUUUCAGCAUCCCAGGAAAAUUACUGCAGCAACCCAAUUAGUAGUCCAAUUUUUGAGGAAAUUUUCAUGACCCAAUUAAAUCAAUCACCGACCCAAUAGCUGAAUUACUGACAAAUCACCAUGGCCCAAAAUUAUAUCAAACUAGUCCAUUACCAGGCCUAAACAUCAAUUAACCGACCCAAUAACCAAUAACCCAGCAAUCCACCAAACUACAAAGAAACCCAAUUAGGACAAAAACUGUUUCAAACUCUUCCCAAACCUAAAAGAAUCACCUAGGCAGACGGUAGACGUGAAUAACCCAUUCAGGUCGGCGCCAGUUUUUUUUUUUUUUUUUAAACGAGCUCUGGCGGGUGAGCAAUUUGAACCACCGUCCAUUCCUUCUCCAAUUUCAACCAACGCUUUUGUGAGAUGGUUUGCCUUGCCUUCUAAUAGUUGAAGCUAUCAACAGUUUGCUGUGAAUUUGUUCCCAAUAAGUUUAUUUUGGGGUAAUUUUUUUUUGGGUAUUGCAAGAAGCAUCGAUGAAAAGGACAAAGUUUCGUUGGACGACGAAUCCGAGGGCUGUGACGAACAAACAAAACUGAAAGUGGGUUACUGAGUUUCUUGGAACUUUUGGAGAUUGAAGCAGAAAUAUUUAGGAAGAGAAUGGGAGACUAUUUCAGAUCGUAGGAGUCGGACAAGUGGCCGGCCGAAUUAGACCAAGGCCAUUAGGUAGGAUCGUAGCAUAGAUUUUGAAAAGUAAAUUUUGAAAAGAAAAAAAAGUUGCACUGCCGCUCGUCGGAAACGCAAAUCAAUGGAUAGUUUGUUUAGGAACUGAUACCAUGUUAAAUUUCAUAUGGAAUGAAGAAAUUUCUUAUUGAUUGAAUAUGCAA